GAUGAACGCUGGCGGCGUGCUUAACACAUGCAAGUCGAACGAUGAAGCCCAGCUUGCUGGGUGGAUUAGUGGCGAGCGGGUGAGUAACACGUGAGUAACCUGCCCUUGACUCUGGGAUAAGCCUGGGAAACUGGGUCUAAUACUGGAUAUGACUUCUCAUCGCAUGGUGGGGGGUGGAAAGAUUUAUUGGUCUUGGAUGGACUCGCGGCCUAUCAGCUUGUUGGUGAGGUAAUGGCUCACCAAGGCGACGACGGGUAGCCGGCCUGAGAGGGUGACCGGCCACACUGGGACUGAGACACGGCCCAGACUCCUACGGGAGGCAGCAGUGGGGAAUAUUGCACAAUGGGCGCAAGCCUGAUGCAGCGACGCCGCGUGAGGGAUGACGGCCUUCGGGUUGUAAACCUCUUUCAGUAGGGAAGAAGCGAGAGUGACGGUACCUGCAGAAGAAGCGCCGGCUAACUACGUG
rnacentral:rRNA from 1 species